UUUCCGGCCUCGGCGCUGGGCACCCGACUGCCGGGGUCGGGAAUGACCCGAGGCUGGUGCGAGUGGGCGCACGGACAGUCCCGCAGUCGGCCCCCUUCCUCCGGUCACCUGGGGAGCCCCGGCCGAGGAGUGGGAGUGACCCGCAUCCCCUAUGUAGCCACGCGGAAGAGGCGCUCGCUUGCUGAAUUUUCAGUGGCUAUCUAUAGAAUUGCAGCAUGAAGAACUACAAUAAUGUAUUUAUCAAGAUUACUAUUUGACAAUUAGGUUGUUUCUUUUUUUCUGCUGUUAUAAAAUUGCAAUAGACAC